rnacentral:rRNA from 1 species
CGUCAAAUCAUCAUCGCCCCUUAUGAUCCGGGCUACACACGAACUACAAUGGCGGCUAACAACGGGAAGCGAAAGCGCGAGCUGGAGCAAACCCCAAAAGCCGUCUCAGUUCAGAUUGCAGGCUGCAACUCGCCUGCAUGAAGUCGGAAUUGCUAGUAAUCGCGAAUCAGCAUGUCGCGGUGAAUACGUUCCCGGGCCUU